GCUGAUUCAAAUGAUCAAAGCGUGAUGAUUGGUUAUUUGAAUCAGCUGUGCAGCGCCGCGGCAAAAAAACCAAAACGUUGCUCCUGAGGAGAGAGUUGAGUUCUGAGAAUAUCUGAGAUGUCUCACCUGUUCUCGGUCUUCUCUAUCCACGGAUGCCACGGAGGACUUGAGCCACCAGCUGUUGUGGUUGUUGUCUGUUAGUUUCUUAGUGAUGACAGCACCAGCUGUUGUGGUGUUGUUCUCUGCUUAUCUUAGUGAUGACCAGCAGCCCUGGGUCUUGGUACCAGCUUCUUAGAUGGAGA
rnacentral:lncRNA from 1 species